UUAAUAUAAAUCUCUCUCUGUGUAUUUAUACACAUUACUGGUUUUGCUUCUCUAGAGAACCCAGCCUAAGACAGUUAUGCUCCCUUCAUAGAAUGAACUCAGGAGUAUUGCUUCCUUUUCUAUGUUCUGAAAUAGUUUGAGUAGUACUGGUGUAAGCUGUUCUCUUAAUGUUUGGUAGAAUUCUCCAGUGAAACCAUCAGGGACAAGGCUUUUUUUGUUGGGAGUUUUUUUUUUAACCUUUUCAAUUUCUUUUGUUAUGGAUCUGUUCAGAUUACCAACAUCAUUUUGUGUUAGUUUGGGUAGGUAGAGUGUUUCUAGAAAUUUGUCCAUUUCCUCUAGGUUUUCAAAUUUGUUGGAGUGUAGCUUUUCAUAAUACUCUGUUAUGACCCUUUUUAUUUCAGUUAGCUCUGCUGUAGUGUGCCCCAUUUCAUUUCUUAUUUGGGUUAUUUGCAUCCUCUUCUGUUUUUCUUUUGUCAAUUUGGCUGGUGGUUUGUUGAUUUUGUUGGCCCUUUCAAAGAACCAGCUUUUUGUUUUGUUGAUUCUUUCUAUUGUUUUUCUAUUCUCUAUUUCAUUUAUUUCUGCCCUGGUCUUUAUUAUUUCCUUUCUUCUGGUGGUUGUGGGCUUCUUUUGCUCUUCUGUUUCUAUUUGGUCGAGUUGUGUAGCUAAUGUUUUGAUUUUUUCCCCUUCUUCUUUUUUGAUAUGUGUAUCUAGUGCUAUAAAUUGACUUCUGAGCCCUGCCUUUGCUGUGUCCCAAGGGUUUUAGUAUGAUGUGUUUUCAUUCUCAUUUGAGUCUAGGAAUUUUUUUUUUAUAAUUUUUAUUGUGCUUUAAGUGAAAGUUUACAAAUCAAGUCAGUCUCUCACACAAAAACCCAUAUACACCUUGCUACACACUCCCAAAUACUCUCCCCCUAAUGAGACAGCCCGCUCUCUCCCUCCACUCUCUCUUUUCAUGUCUUUUUCAUCAGCUUCUAACCCCCUCCACCCUCUCAUCUCCCCUCCAGGCAGGAGAUGCCAACAUAGUCUUAAGCAUCCACCUGAUUCAAGAAGCUCACUCCUCACCACCAUCCCUCUCCAACCCAUUGUCCAGUCCAAUCCUUGUCUGAAGAGUUGUCUUGGGGAAUGAUUCCUGUCCUGGGGCAACAGAAGGUCUGGGGGCCAUGACCACUGGGGUCCUUGUAGUCUCAGUCAGACCAUUAAGUCUGGUCUUAUGAGAAUUUGGGGUCUGCAUCCCACUGCUCUUCAUGAAAUAUUCUUGAUGGAACAUAAUACCCCUGAAUCCAAUCCUCUUUAAAACUGACUGUCUUCUGGAGAAAAUGCAGCAGAUAGAGAAUCAAGGCCAAAGACAACACUGGGGAGUAAACAGACAACUCUAGAAGGUGGGAUGAUCUAUAGGAGACCUCUUUUGUUUAUACAGCACAUCAACUGUAUUUUUAAGAAGGAGGGGUGCCAGAGUAAGAGACACAAGAGACUUACCAAUCAAAGACAAUGUGUGCAGUAGUUUGGAACUCAUUCAACAGAAAGCAUUAGGUGAAAUAAUGGCUCUGAGAUUAUAAAGGACAAUGCCCGCACGUGUUUUGGAAAAGCAUCCUGAAGAGAUGGCAGUGAAAUCACACAACCUCUGGAAUUUCUUUUAAAAUAAUUCAGAAAAAUAUAUGAAUUAAAAGAGGAAGCGAUGAAAGAUGGGUGGAAAAGUCUCGAUAGUGAUUUAAUCUGUUAACUAUAUGGAUUUUUUAUACAUAAUAUUCUCCUUCGAGUAUAAUUGAACAUUUUUUAAUGAAAUCUUCCCCCAAAUAAAUGUGAGAGCUGAUGGGAGUCCAACACCCUUACUUCUGAAGGCACAGUUUUCCCAGGUGAAAAGCACAGGAUGACAUGUUUUUAUAAAGAUGUUGGAAAUCCAUGAAGUUCAUGUUUAAAAAAAAAGGAAGAAGGAACCCAGGCUCUUUCCUUUGCCAGACAUCCUACAAAUUGGGGCAUCUGAGCCCCUUUCACCUUCCCUCCUCUUCCCUGAGUAUCAGUGCCAGCAACUGUUGUAAACACCCCUUUCUGCUCACCUAGAGUUUAGUUUACAGAGUUUCCCUUUGGUGUGUGCUCUUUCAAGUAGGGUUUCUGCUACUUCCCACCAUCCUCAUGUCCCACCUGUUUCCUGAGCUGGGCCAGGAGGGGUUUGUGUUCCAGGAACAGCUGACAUGCAGCACUGUGGAUGCACUGCUGGCACAGAAGUACACAGCUGAGUCCCCGGGCUCCGUGGACUGGAUCUCCAGGCUACAGAGGACACAAUCCAUCCUUGCUGUCUGCUCCCUUGCUUUGACCAGCUGUCCUGGAGUCUGGGUGACCUCAGUGUCCAUGGAGCCUGUGGAAGAAGGAGACAGAAGCUGGAGAGCAGCUCAGGAGGAGCCUGAUGUUGCAGCCUCAGGAGGAAGCCCUGACCUUGGAGUCCAACAAGGUCAACAGGACUGACCUGCUCCCAGGAAACACAGGAUCCCCAGGCAGAGCAGUGUGGGGUCCAUGCUGGUCAGAGAGAGAUUAUUGCAAGAAUUUCUCAGCCCUGUGCCACCCUUUCGGAUUUCUUCACUCAGUUUCCACCUCCUCCAGGCGACUAGUGUUUUCGAUUGGAGUCCCUGGGUGAUGCAAAUGGUUGAGAUGGUCAGCUCCUAACCAAAGGAUGAAGGUUCAAGUGCACCCGGAGGCACCUUGGAAGAAAGCCUCGGCCAUUUAAUUCUUAAAAAUCAUCCAUUAAAAACCCUGUGGAGCACAGUUCUACUUCAGCACACAGGUGGUCACCACAAGUCAGAGUCCACUCAGUAGCAACUGUUGUUUUUGCUUGUUUGUUUUUUAACACAUAAUAAGCAUGGUAUUGGUGCUUGCCAUGAUCAUUUUAUGGACUGAAGUGUGGCUCUGAGUUUUCCAACUAGAUAUUUUCUUGAUGUAGCACUGUGUCAACUAACCAAUAUACCAUUUCCCCGAAUUGAAUUGAGUUUUAUGCACUGAGUCACACUGAUUGUAUAACACAGGUCCUUCCCAAGAGUCUUAGAUAACUGAAAAUGGGAUCGCAGAUUAAGUCCUUUUUAAUAAAUGCUGUUAUUUUGGUAGAUCCAUUUUUUUGUUCUUGUUUUUUAAACCUGAGGUCAUUGGUAAUAAAAGAUUUUGGUUGGCAUCUUUGGCUUAGAAACUGAGGCUGCCCCCUCCUGGAAGAACGGAGAAGAUACACUCAGUCUACGUGUGUGUGUGUGUGUGCACGUGUGCAUGUGUGUGUGUAAGAGGGAAAUGGAAGGGGCAGGGAGACUUAGUCUGAGCAGGGGAGGAAGAGAAGGAGAAAUGGGGGAGGGUAGAGUAAGCGUGAGGAGUGGGAGAGGAGAGAACUGGGAAUGAGGUCGGAAUUUAGAGUAAGAGCCAUGGAGAGCUGCAGAAGGGUGGGUAGAACCUGGAGAAAGAAUGUUUCUGACAAUGUUGCUUCCGUGUCGGGUCUCAGCUCCAGGUUCUCCACCAUAACACUGGGCUGAGGGCUUCAUACCUUACACAGGUAAUCUCAACCUUAUUUGUCCCGAACCCAUUUUCCAACCUGGUGACACCUAAGGACCCUUCUUAGAAGAAUGUCUUAAAGAGUGCAUAAAAUAGGAUAUACACAAAGACAACCAUUUAUUUUGAAAUGAAACUAUCCAAAUAUUUUUUAAAUUUAUGAUCAGUUUAUGUAUGUAUAUUAUUAAAAUUCAUUUAAUGAAAUAUUUCACUAUUCUAAAAACUGCCGUGAUUUUGAAGUAAUUAUGAGAAUAAGUGAUAUGUCUUCUAUGUAACGUGAUAUGAAAAUUUUGUGAUUUCUACUAGGGACAUUUUCACAGGCCUAUCAGUACUGCUGUGGCUUAUUCCCUACACUCACCACAGAAGAAAAUGUUAUAUCUCAGCUAGAGAUUAGUGAUAAUAAAGAUGUAUUAUUUCCAUCCAAAAUCAUAGAUUCCUGAAUUCCAUGUAUGUCCCCCAUGGUCCAUGGAUCCCAGGUUAAAACUUUCUGCCUCAGAAUGGAAUAUGCUUCAUGCUGGAGGUCAAGGACAAGGAGCCUUAGAAAGUUCCUAUAUUCUCAGAAAUACUUUACCUACAUGUGUGAUUUUCUUAGACUGUCAAAGAUGUCCUGAUUCUAAAAAAAAAAAGGAAAAAAAUUAAGGUGUUUCUUCAGACUGAUUUACUUACCUAAAUUAUGAGUGACGAGUAGUUACUACGAUUGUAUUCUAGUUCUUGUACUAUGAUACAAUUUCUCUAAUCUUUCUAUCUGCCACCUUCACUAUCCAUCGCCUCCAUCGUUACCCAUAUCAUUGUCACCAUCAACAUCAUCAAAUGGUCUGUGUGGUCCCUGAGGGGUGUUAUUAGAAUACACAUGGCAGGCACAUGGUGUGAUAGACACAUACUUUCUUGCAUGGA